UACGAGGACGAACGCUGGCGGCGUGCCUAACACAUGCAAGUCGAACGGAGUCAAGAAGCUUGCUUUUGACUUAGUGGCGGACGGGUGAGUAACGCGUGAGUAACCUGCCUCUGAGAGGGGAAUAACGUUCUGAAAAGAACGCUAAUACCGCAUAACGUAUCGAAGCCGCAUGACUUUGAUACCAAAGAUUUUAUCGCUCGGAGAUGGACUCGCGUCCGAUUAGUUAGUUGGUGAGGUAACGGCUCACCAAGACCGCGAUCGGUAGCCGGACUGAGAGGUUGAUCGGCCACAUUGGGACUGAGACACGGCCCAGACUCCUACGGGAGGCAGCAGUGGGGGAUAUUGCGCAAUGGGGGCAACCCUGACGCCAGCAACGCCGCGUGAAGGAUGAAGGUUUUCGGAUUGUAAACUUCUUUUAUCAGGGACGAAGCUUGACGGUACCUGAUGAAUAAGCUCCGGCUAACUACGUGCCAGCAGCCGC
rnacentral:rRNA from 1 species